CAACCCUCAAGCUCUGCUUGGUAUUAGGCCUCACCUGCUAAAGGCGGGCCGUAAAAUCAGUGGCGGUGCCAUUCGGCUUCAAGCGUAGUAAUUUUCUCGCUUUGGAGAACCGGCUGUGUGCCUGCCAGCAACCCCAAUUUUUAUCAAAGG
rnacentral:misc_RNA from 1 species